rnacentral:snoRNA from 1 species
AAGACCUUACUUCAUAGGAUCAUUUCUAUAGUAAGCUCUUCACGAGAACUCUUACAUUAUGUAGGAUCAGACCAACCACGAUGAGGAGACGUGGCGCGGUGCCCUGAGCGUGAGGCGGGCAGAGUCAGCCUGACUCUAGCCCUCGAUGAUCGUUCAUCCCUUUGCUUGCAAAGGGGCGUGGGGUACUGUCGCUGUCUGAGUGGU